AGAGAGUUAUGUUUGGUCAAAGUAAGACAUUAUUUUAGAACACUUAGAAAUUUUUCUAAGUCCAAAAUUUGUAAAAUUUGUCAAGACCUAUGGGCCAGAUUUCUUGCACUUCAAGGCAUCUUUUGAAAACACUUUCUUCAUGACAGUUGUACCUUGAUAUGUCCUAUUUCACACCUUUUUGGAACCACCCCAUUUGGAUAAUUGGUUUGGAAGAUACACUCAUCUAAAGUUGGUAUCAUAGGCUGAAUUUUUUGACAGCAUUUAGGCCAAACUGGCCCAACCAUUUUGCAGCCAUGAAACCUGAACUUUAUGGCCAUUUUCCACCCCUUUCCACUCACCAUUUCAAGAUGUGUUCAACAUGAAAAAUGUUAAGUUGCCAUGAAACCUGAACUUUAUGGCCAUUUUCCACCCCUUUCCACUCACCAUUUCAAGAUGUGUUCAACAUGAAAAAUGUUAAGUUACAUGCCCUCUUUCUACUGUUUGCAUUGCCUUGCCAUUUGGACAUUUAUUCAUCAAGUUACAAUGCCUUAAAGUCACCUAGUUGGUUUGAUUUUUAUGCUGCACAAGAAAGACCAAGUUUAACCACAAAAAUGACCAACACAUCUUUUACCUCAUUUGACCAUUUGCUUUUGGUUCAUUCACUUAAGUUUUGCCACAUUUAGCCAUUUCUUUUCACACCUCAUUUUUGCAUCAUUUUGCAUGAAUCAAAAACCAACACUUAAGCCCAUCCACACACUUGAAACCCUACAUAUAUAAACUCCUAAAACCCUAAUCAGAAGAGGAGGCUGCCACUAUCUUCAAGCAAGAAAGGCAAGAGGAAAAGACCAAGUUUCAUUCCAUUCCAUUUCACAAGCAUUGAAGCACCAUUGAAGAGCAUCUCAUUUCCUUCCAUUCCUCCACUAUCAAGAAGCAGUGGACUGUCUUCCACUAGGUAAGUUUGCUACUCUCUUCCAUGGCUUUGCUCAUUUCAUGAAUAUUAUACUUGUUCAUCACUUGUUUCUUCCAUGCCUACCAUCCAUAUUUCAUGCUAUCUUUCAUUUAUACCAUGCCAUGCCAUGCUUAUUUUCCAUGUUAACAAUAUACCAUGCUUGUUUAUGAAGCCCUCACCAUGAGGCAUUGCUUUAAGUUGGAGUUUUGUAACUUUGAAUUUUCACUCAUGUCCAUGUUCAUGAGCCUUCCUUGCUGUCCAUAUUUCUCUAUGAUAAAGUCAUUAUUUUGCAUAAAAUAAAAUACCAUGAUGUUCCUCUCACUUUGUACUUGAAUUUUGCUUUUUACAUCAUCCAAUUUCGUGAAGUGUAGAGUGAGAUAAGUUGAGUAGAAGAUGGAAGGUUUUGUUCCAUUUUUUUUCGAAAAUACAUGCUGUUAUGUUGCUGUUUUUACGUUGCAUGAAGGAAGGAAAACAUGUCAUGUUGUAGCCGUUCGAUCGUGCGCCUGGAAUUAAUCACAACCGUCCAACAUUCUUUUGUCUUUUAGUGACUUUAAAUGAAACUUUGACCAACUGAUAUUUGUUACAUAGAUUUAAUUUAAAUGAAAAUUUUUAUUUUGGUCACAUUCUGAAUAUUCAUCUUGGAUCGGACUGGGCUUAGCGUUGGUUGCUAUCCGCCCCCCACCACUCAUGGCCCAUUUCUCCUUUUACUUUCAUUUCUUUUCAUUCUUCUUAUUUCCAUUUUAUUUUUCUGUUUUACUUUUUAAUUAUUAAAAAUAUUUUAUUUGCUCACAAAAAUACCAAAAAAUAAUUUUCACGUUCUCUAAUGCCUUAUUUAAUUUAUUUUAAUUUUUAUUUUCGUUUUUAUUUAAUUCUAAUAUUUUAUUUCAAUUAUUUGUUUCAAAUAGGCCAUUUUAACACACUUUUUUUCAUUUAUUUUAUUUUCAUAACUUAAAAUUAUUUUUAGAUUUUGAUUUUUGGGAUGAGGGUUGACCAAUGUCUCAUGGUGAACCUGACCUUUUCUUGGGAUUUUAUUUCUCAUUUUCAAUUUAUUUUGGAUUUAUUUUUGACCUAGUUUGCUUGGUUGACUUUUCAUUUGACUUCUGUUUUAUUUCAAUUAAUUUAUACACUAAUUUUCAUUAUUUGGAUUUAUUUUUGACCUAGUUUGCUUGGUUGACUUUUCAUUUGACUUCUGUUUUAUUUCAAUUAAUUUAUACACUAAUUUUCAUUAUUUUUGAAAUCUUUUUGGGGGAUGAUGAUGUCCUGACCCCAUCUAACUUAUUUUAAUUUUUCAUAUUUUAUUGAAUUAAUUUAUUAUUUAUUUGAUAAUUUUUAAGUUGACUCGACUUUAUAGUUGACUUUUUUAUGAUUGAUGUUUGACAUAGGGAUUGCUUAGGGCAAUUGAAGAGAUCUUUUGAUACUCCCUUGUUCAUCUCAUGUGCCACAUAUUAGAGGCCUUUCAUAUUGAUUUUAUUUGAUCCUUGCAUCAUUUCCCGAUUAAAUUAUUCAUUGAUUCUUUGUGUGCAUAAUUUCACCUGUCUUAUUCAUCUGAUAUUUUUUAUACUUGUUUCUUUCAUCCAUGUCUUUAUUGUUUGAUUGCUUAAUAUGUUUAUACUUCUCAUACAUUGUUUAAUGCUUCAUUAUUUAAUUCUUUGAUUAUUUGAUUUGAUUAUAUACUUGUUUAUAUCUUACUUGUUUGAUUAACUAUGGCCUACUUGUAUGGUGUAUGAGGCAUAUAUUAUUAUUGUUUAAUUGCCAUGUACAAUCCCCAUUCAUUACAAAUGUAUCCCUCUCCCAUGAAUUGUAUAAUGUUUAUUUCUCUCAUUCUUUAUUCAUCUGUUAAUACAAGAAAUAAAAUGAACAUCCGAUAACCAUUUCUUUUCUCUCAUUCUUUAUUCAUCUGUUAAUACAAGAAAUAAAAUGAACAUCCGAUAACCAUUUCAUAACAAGAUCAAAACCUCGAUUCAACAUCGAGUAAUCAUUUUCAAAACUUAACAGAACCAGCAUGUAUUCAUCCAUUUACCUUGUAAGUCGAUUGCUUUAUACAUCGCCAUCAACCUUGUAAGUCAAUUGCUUUAUGCAUCGCCAUCAACCUUGUAAGUCGAUUGCUUCAUGCAUCGCCAUCUACCCUUAUCCCUAGCACCUCUCCUUGCUCCAUUUGUCGAUUCUUAUUCCGUUUAGGUAGCACCCAUUAGGUAGAACCCUUUGUAUGAUAACAUAGGUAGGAUUCCCAUAUUCUUUUAUAUGAUAACAUAGGUAGGAUUCCCAUAUUCUUUUGUAUGAUAACAUAGGUAGAAUUCCAUUAUUCUUUUGUAUGCUAACAUAGGUAGAAUUCCCUCAUUACUUUGCAUGCUAACAUUAGGUAGAUGUUCCCAUUUGUAAAUACUUACACAUAGGUCCACAUUGCAUGACAACUCUAGGGCAAAGCUUCCCCAUCUUUAGACCUUUCCGAGAGUCUCCAAUCUUGUGGCAUGUAGUCCGUUCUAUUGCAAAGAGGUAACUGCCUAAGACUCGAUUCAGCGAGCUGCGACACCUGCUGCUAGGACGUGAACACAUUGCCCACUCUCCUUUGACACAACUGGUGUCCUUUUGCAAAGAGGUAACUGCCUAAGACUCGAUUCAGCGAGCUGCGACACCUGCUGCUAGGACGUGAACACAUUGCCCACUCUCCUUUGACACAACUGGUGUCCUCCUUUGUAAGUCCAUGUUCAUAUGGCAAUCCCUAUGUAGCCGAACUACGGAAACUCUGAUUCUCAUGUUCAGAUGAGAUACGUAGGCACAAGAUGCGAUGUCUUGCCGAGUUUUGAUUGACGAUUAACAACUAAUCCUUGCUUGCUUUCGCCAUUGCUGCGAUUCUUUUCUCUCGCCCUCGUUGUGAUCGAGACCUCCCCUUUCUCUUGCCCUAGUUGCAAUUGAGACCUUCUUGCCCUAGUAGGCAUAAGACGCGAUGUCUUAGCGAGCACACUUCUCUUUAACCCAUAGGUAGCCGAGCUACGAAGACUCUGAUUCUCAUAUUCAGAUGAGAUACGUAUGCAGUGGAUGCAACAUCCUUGCGAGUCAUUUUCUUUUGACCUCUUUUUUUAGUAAAUAGUACAUUAGAUAAACACACACCCUCUAGACAAAAAAAAAGUGGAUCCCGUAGAGUACUACGGAUGCGUAGAUGUGCUAAUACCUUCCCUUCGCAUAAUCGACUCCCGAACCCAAGAUUUGGUUGCGAGACCUUGUCUUUUCCUUUCCUUUCUUCAGGUUUACUUCAAGCGCUUCCUUUCCCUCUUUUGGGAUAAAUAACGCACGGUGGCGACUCUUCUGUUAUUUCUUUUUCGCCGGUUGUUUUUGGCACACUAUAUUUUUUUAGGCUGCGACACAUCCCUCUCCACCUCCCCCAGUUCCCCUCCUUAUUAUGACCUCACUUGUAACUCUCAACACUCUAAUUCAGAUUACCCUGACUUAACCUCACCAAACCAUGAAGACCUUCAGGCCACAACUGACUCUAAAAAGAAUCCUUUUGUACCUGAACCAUCUAAACCCAUUCCCGAACACUUUGAACCUGACCUCAUUCAACCUACCUUUGAUGAGGCACUAGCCAAAUUCUCAGAGAGUUCAGCUUCCAAAUUCAAGAAGCUCUCUGACGAAUCCAACACCAGUGACACUCCUUCUAAAGUAAGAACUAACUGAAAUGGAUUCAUCAGAUGGAUGACUUCUGAAGUCUUCAAGCUGAAGGGCCUAUCUGAGUAAGUCAAAAAUGACUCCAUUAGAGAUGAUGAGGAGAGGCUAGAUACUUGUCUGAUGAAGGAAGUAGCUGAGAAGGCAGAAAGGGAAGCAUUAGAGAAAGAUGCUAGGGAGGCUGCUGAAAAAGCCACUGCAGAAGCUGCAGCCAGAGAGAAAGUUGAAGUUGAAGCAGCAAUGGCCGCCGAAGCUUCUCAGAAAGCCGCUGAAGAUAUUGAGAAGAUCGUUGAGGUUACUCUGAUUCAAGGAGAGUCAUCAACAGCUGACCUUGCUCCUCUAGUCAUCAGGACUCUAUAAGAGUUAUAGAAGGAACAACAACUAGUCAGAGCCAAACUCAACAAAUAGGAUCAAGUCAACUCCAACAUUCGGAGUUUGCUAGCUGAGCUACUUCAGAGGAUGCCUCCUCCACCAAACCUUUAGACGCUAUAGUAUUUAUAUGUUUUUGUAUAAGUGUUUUUUCCUCUAAGGCUCUCUCUUUUGCUUCUUUAUGUACUAUGUGAAGUUUUUCUUAUCAAUGAAAUUUUGAGUUACUUACUUUUUGAGUCUGACAAAAAGGGGGAGAAUUAAAUAGAAGUCUUUUUAUGAAGUAAUUUAUCUAACUCUCAGAAAUACACUACUUAUAUUUUGACAUAAGUUAUUGCAUAAACUAAGUCAUUUUUCAGGAUCUAUCUGAACCAAGGGAAACUGAAUCCUUAUCUGAGAAACUACUAAAUCAAGUCAAGCAACCUAAGAAAAUUUGGUAAGAAAUUCUCUACCCCAAAAACCAAUAUCUGAUACUAAAUAUCUUUAAAUUUUUCCCCCAAGUAUAAGACUUAGGGGGAGAUUGCUAAUCUCAGGGGGAGUCUCUUCUCUAUCUGACUAUGAUCAUUUUCAAUUUAGUAUCUCUAAAAGUACUUAGUGUUUCAUCAAAAUUCUAAGUUUUGUCAUCAUCAAAAAGGGGGAGAUUGUUAUAACAAGAUUUUGAUUCUGCAAUAUAUCUCAAAGUUUUGAUGAUCACAAAGAAUGAAACAAUUUGGCACCCUAACAAUUUUCUUAAGUGUGCAGGAUUCUAAGUUAAAAUGACUCUGAGGAAAUGAAUAUCUGGCAUCCACAUCAGCUCAGAAACGCUGACCGAACACAAAGAGAAAUCAAAUCUGACUCUAAACAGAAUACAUCUAAGGAGCAAUCACCUGAAGAAUCUGACUCUAACGUUCAAGCUCUGAUUCUAAAGACUCUAGAAGAGAUAUCUGAAGACUCUGAAAGAGAUAACUAAAGACUCGACAAAAGAUAUCUGAAGACUCUGCGAAAAGAGAUCUAAAGACUCUAACUCUGAAGACUUUGAUCAUGCUCACCUUACUCUGACACAUGCUAAGAAACACGCCAUUAAAUAUCACCUGAUCAGAAACUUAAGCUGGAAGCAUUCAAAGUGUAGUACAAUUAUUUUUAAGGAAAUAAUAGAUUAUACUCCAAGACUACUAUGGAAAGGGCAAGAAUUUUACUACCUUUAACUCCCACAGCUGGAAAAAAUCUCCAUUGAUUUCCCCAUAACAAUAUCAUCUCAAGUGCUAUAUAAAGGCCUCCUUACAACUUGUUGAAUACAUAACUUUGAUACAACAAAAAUCUCAUAUUCUGAAUAUUCUUCACCAUUAUUAUUGUAAGAAAUAGUAUCCAUACAAGAGUUGUUGCUCAAUAUUGGGUGGUUGUCUUUCAUUGUUCUUAAAGUGUGUUUAUACUGCUUAUCUAAAAGCAUCUAGUGAAACACUUGUAAUUCUUAAAAUUGUUUGUGAUUCCUCAAGUGACUUGUUUAGGUCUGUAGACUCGAGAGAGCUAAGAGGUUGUUAAACGCUUAGACGAAUUUUGUAAUCUGUUGAGAUUAGUAGAUUAAGUCCUUAUUGAAGGCGAAAUCAUCUUGGCCGGGUGGACUGGAGUAGCUUUGAAUUUCAAGCUAACCGGAUAAAUCCUUUGUGUUGUUAGUAUUUAUUUUGUGUGUGUGGUAUUGCAAAAUAUUUUAAUUCCCGUGAAAACAACUAAAACCCCCCUUUCUUGUUUUUCUCCGCCUUUAGUUGAGGUGUGGUGAAAUUAUUGUUUGGCCCAUUGUAUAUUAUUUGAAUCCACAAAUAGUGGUGUGUAUGAACCAAAAUGUUUAUGACGGUAACCAAUGAUUGGUUGGCCAACAAAAGAAAAUAGUAUGGAGGUAACCAGUAAGUGGUGUGGCCCUAGAGGAAAAGAGUGGUGGUAACCAAUAAGUGGUGAGGCCCUAGAAAAAAAAGGUAUGGUGGUAACCAAUAAGUGGUGUAGCCCUAGUUGAAAAGAGUGUGGAGGUAACCAAUAAGUGGUGUGGCCCUAGAGGAAAAGGGUGAUGGUAACCAAUAAGUGGUGUGGCCAAAGAGAAAAAGGUAUGACGGUAACCAAUAAGUGGUGUGGCCCUAGAGUAAAAGAUUAGCGGUAACCAAUAAACAGUGUGGCCAAUAGAUUGUGGUUCAAAGAUGGGUUUUUUAACCAUGCGGUGAUUAACCUUAAGAAUGCAUGGAUGCCAAAGAAGAUUGUGUUUUGUCCAAGGAGACAAGUGUACUGUUUAUGAAGUUGUGUUGCAAUGUUGAGUGUAGUGUUGAUGUGUUGUCUAUGGAGAAGAAGACUAGACAGUUAUUUUAUUCGAAUUGCACUAAAGUCUAUAAACAAAGGUGAAUACUCUGAAUAGCUAGGGCCUAUGCUCUAUACAUAAAGGUACUCAAAACAAGGAUAGGAAAAAUCCCUCUCAUUCUUCUUCGUUGUUUAAGACUCGUGGCGUGCAAUUUUUGUCAUGACUGACAAGUGUUGAAGAUGAAUAUUUUUGUUGUGUUGGAUGUUCACAAUAUUCAUCCUUGAGGUUCCUUUGUCUUCAAGCUCUUGAUUAUGCAAUCUUGAGUUGACUAAAGUGUGAAGCCCUGAACUUGAGUUGAAUUCCAAUGUAGUUCCAGUACAAAGGAUCAAUCCUAUCAGGGGAUCAAGAGACUUUUAAUCACUUGACUAGACAGAGGAAUCAAACAUAUCAAAGGGCUACUUGAUCAUAGAUAACUUUGAUCUGUCAGUCAAGGGUAAGAUCAAAGUGUCAAUCAAGCAUUUAGAUUUUUAUGCCUAACCUAAGAGAGUUAAAGCACUACCAAGUAAAUUAAGUUCUAACAUUAAAACUAUUCUUAAAAAAAUUAUGAACAUGGCAUAUUAUUAAAUUGAAAAUUAUUCUAAAACUAAUGAUUAUUUAUUUAUCUUCAAAAGGUGGAUUAAAAUCAAUUAAAAUUCUAAAUAUAAAAGUAACAAAGUUGGAAAAUGUAGUAACAAGUGUUAGAAUGUAUUAACAUGACUAAAAUGCAUAAAAAACUACUAGCUAAAAAAAAGAGAUCAAAAGAAGAAAAGGAAGGCAUGGGUGAGUGCUUAUGGUGUGAUGUGUGUAUAGCACAAGGGUGUUGGGUUUACUUGAAGAGCCCAUGGUUGUUUUUGUUAGGUUCAGAGGGUGUGUGAAUAUUGUUUAGGGGUGUAGGAUGUAAAUUGUUUGGGCUUAGGGCUUUGAUAAGCCCAAUACGAGCCAACCAUGUAAGAGAGGAGGGGAACUUAGAUUUUCACUCCAUCGUUCCUCAUUCUACAUGCGUUUCAUACUUCACCUCGAGCGAGAAAAACUCUGCCGCGUCGGAAAUUGCCUUGGCGGCGGCGAAGGUCCAAUCCCUUCAACCUACACAUCAAGGUACUCUCCUUUAUCCCCUCUUCCACAAUCCAAUAUCCAUUUAUUUUAAUUCCUAAUUUAAAUUCCAAAAAUCGACCUAAGAAACAAAGGAACCCUAAAACCUAAAAACCAAAUUAAAUGAGGAAGAUAAGCUAAUUGGAGCCCAAACCAUGGGGGUUUGGCUCCCACGAAGGAGCAUUACAUCGUGGUAAUGGUGAAUUGAAGAAAGGGAGUAGAAAGGCCUACCUGCCAAAGAAAAUCCAGCGGUUCUUCAAGGUAUUAACACCGAUGAAAAGAAUGUCUAGAGAUUGUCUUCUUCUUCGGGUACGUGAAUAUUCUUCUAUAUUUGAUGCUCAAUUCCUCUUAUUCUUCUUCUCCGCGUGUGGGAGUAUAAGAUGGAGAGAGUGAUGAUAGUUGUGAUGAUGAUGCAUUGAGAUUGAUGAGGGAUUAUGUCUAAUGCUCAAAGAGAGUUCAAAUUCAAUUGAUGAUUGUGCUGUGAUUUUUAGUGAGUGUGAUUGUCAAUGAAUUAUGUGAUGAUUCUGAAUGAUUGUCAAUCAGAUAAUUUAGAGAGAAUUAUCAAAGAAUUAAGAAUUCAGAGAGAGUGUUUUUGGUGAAUGUGAUGGAUAUCCAUGAUUGGAGAGUGAUGAUGAGUUUAUAGAGCUUGAAGGUGCAACCAAUUAGGCAGGCUCGGGCCAGGUUAGUUGGAAGUUAGAGUAAGUUAAAUCAUGUUAAGUUUCUAAGAGCAAAGUGGUUAGGGAUGAAUAACUCUGUUAAUUUUGUCAAGUUUAGUUAUGAAUGUUUGUUAAAUCUAUUGACAUUGUUAGGUUCUGUUAGAGUUUGUUGUUAGCAGUUAGUGAAAUGAAGUUAAGUUAUUAGUUACAGUUAACUUGAUAAAACUGUUAGUGCAUACUUUUAGAAUUUAGUGGUUUUACUUUGUCAAUUCGGAAAGUUGUGAACUGAAUGUUAGGGAGUAUUAAAAGGUUGAAAUGUUAGUGAAGAUAUUAGUUAAAAUGGAAUUUGUUAACUUAGUUAUAAUUAGAGUGUAAGUAACGUAGUUGUCAAUUGAUAUGAAAAUUUGAAGUAGUUAGUGAAUGACAUUUUCUGUUAGGAACAUUGGUUAUGUGAUAGUUAAAUCGAAUUGUUGAAUUAUUAUGUUAGUUAGUCAUAGAUACUGAUGAAAAUUUGAAGAUAAAUGUCAUGAAAAUGAGUGAAUUUGAUUGUUAGUUAAAAAAAUUAGAACUGGUAAAAUAGUUAAUGUGGAAAGAAAAUGAUUAGGUUAAGUGGUCUUGCAAUGUUAGUAGGUUGGAUUGGACUAUCAUGGUUGUUUAAUGCAUUGUAUAAUUAACUUGUUGGUAGGUUAGUUAAUUGAUUAUACAUGUUUUAUAAGAAUUUGAAAUUGUUUUUGUCUAUGAUGAUUGGUUAGAACUGAAGUUGAGUUAAUAUGUUAGUGAAAUCCAAUGGUUAGCUAAAGGCUGUUAUGGAUGGAUUGAGUGAGUGUAUUUGAAUGCCUAUACAUGUGAAUCAUGCUUGAUUGGUCAUGGAAAGUUUUAGAACUUUGAAGACUUAGGAAGUUCAUUUGACAGUAGGAAUUCAAUGUGAAAUAUUGAAGGUUAUACUAGUUGGUAUGCUAUUUGAAUUGGCUUGUUUCUUGGUUUUUUUGCAUGUUUAAAUUACUUCUAAUUUUGAUAUGGAGGUAAUGUUAUAAAUUGGAAAUGGUAUGAAUGUAAUGAAUAUAUGUAUAUGAAUGGUAUGCUGAUGAUGUUUUAUUGAUCUAGCCUUGUUUAUUGCAAGUGUGCACAUAGGAUGGCUUGGUAUGCAAGGCUUGAUCAAAGUUGUUUAGCACAUCAUAACACAUUAAGAUGGAAGUCAAAAUCAAAGGAAGGAGAUUGGAGACUUGGAUGCUCAAUAAUGGGGGGACCUUGUGGAUGUAGAGAAAAUGAGAUUAGGGUCAUAAGAUUAGAUAGUUGACUUUGGUUAACUGGUUGACCAAAGAGUCAUUAGUUAACCAAAGUAAAAUGUAGGUCAAAAAUGAAAUUUUUGUAUAGGAUUGGGCUUUGAAUUUCUUGUAAUGGAAUUGGUGGAUUUUUACUUUGACUUUUGUAAUAUAACUUGCUUUCCCUCCGAAGUUUUGAAUAUUUGAAUAUGUGUUGAUCUUUUGCAAAAUAACCUUGACCCUUGAAUUUGAAUCA
rnacentral:lncRNA from 1 species